rnacentral:rRNA from 1 species
UACGAAGGGGGCUAGCGUUGCUCGGAAUCACUGGGCGUAAAGCGCACGUAGGCGGACUCUUACGUCCGGGGUGAAAUCCUGGAGCUCAACUCCAGAACUGCCUUUGAUACUGAAGAUCUUGAGUUCGGGAGAGGUGAGCGGAACUGCGAGUGUAGAGGUGAAAUUCGUAGAUAUUCGCAAGAACACCAGUGGCGAAGGCGGCUCACUGGCCCGAUACUGACGCUGAGGCACGAAAGCGUGGGGAGCAAACAGG